CCUACGGGUGGCAGCAGUGGGGGAUAUUGCACAAUGGGGGAAACCCUGAUGCAGCGACGCCGCGUGGAGGAAGAAGGUUUUCGGAUUGUAAACUCCUGUCGUUAGGGACGAUAAUGACGGUACCUAACAAGAAAGCACCGGCUAACUACGUGCCAGCAGCCGCGGUAAAACGUAGGGUGCAAGCGUUGUCCGGAAUUACUGGGUGUAAAGGGAGCGCAGGCGGACCGGCAAGUUGGAAGUGAAAACUAUGGGCUCAACCCAUAAAUUGCUUUCAAAACUGCUGGCCUUGAGUAGUGCAGAGGUAGGUGGAAUUCCCGGUGUAGCGGUGGAAUGCGUAGAUAUCGGGAGGAACACCAGUGGCGAAGGCGACCUACUGGGCACCAACUGACGCUGAGGCUCGAAAGCAUGGGUAGCAAACAGGAUUAGAUACCCUUGUAGUC
rnacentral:rRNA from 1 species